GACGAACGCUGGCGGCGUGCUUAACACAUGCAAGUCGAACGAAGAGCGAUGGAAGCUUGCUUCUAUCAAUCUUAGUGGCGAACGGGUGAGUAACGCGUAAUCAACCUGCCCUUCAGAGGGGGACAACAGUUGGAAACGACUGCUAAUACCGCAUACGAUCUAACCUCGGCAUCGAGGAUAGAUGAAAGGUGGCCUCUACAUGUAAGCUAUCACUGAAGGAGGGGAUUGCGUCUGAUUAGCUAGUUGGAGGGGUAACGGCCCACCAAGGCGAUGAUCAGUAGCCGGUCUGAGAGGAUGAACGGCCACAUUGGGACUGAGACACGGCCCAGACUCCUACGGGAGGCAGCAGUGGGGAAUCUUCCGCAAUGGACGAAAGUCUGACGGAGCAACGCCGCGUGAGUGAUGACGGCCUUCGGGUUGUAAAGCUCUGUUAAUCGGGACGAAAGGCCUUCUUGCGAAUAGUGAGAAGGAUUGACG
rnacentral:rRNA from 1 species